CCGUGUUUAUGAAUUUAUGUUGAUUUAAACCCUUCCAAUUACUGAAAUUA
rnacentral:ncRNA from 1 species